GAUGAACGCUGGCGGCGUGCUUAACACAUGCAAGUCGAACGGAAGGGCUCCUGCUUGCAGGGGUACUCGAGUGGCGAACGGGUGAGUAACACGUGGGUGAUCUGCCCUGCACUUCGGGAUAAGCCUGGGAAACUGGGUCUAAUACCGGAUAGGACGAUGGUUUGGAUGCCAUUGUGGAAAGUUUUUUCGGUGUGGGAUGAGCUCGCGGCCUAUCAGCUUGUUGGUGGGGUAAUGGCCUACCAAGGCGUCGACGGGUAGCCGGCCUGAGAGGGUGUACGGCCACAUUGGGACUGAGAUACGGCCCAGACUCCUACGGGAGGCAGCAGUGGGGAAUAUUGCACAAUGGGCGCAAGCCUGAUGCAGCGACGCCGCGUGGGGGAUGACGGCCUUCGGGUUGUAAACUCCUUUCGCUAGGGACGAAGCGCAAGUGACGGUACCUGGAGAAGAAGCACCGGCUAACUACGUG
rnacentral:rRNA from 1 species